rnacentral:rRNA from 1 species
UACAGAGGGGGCCAUCGUUAUUCGGAAUUAUUGGGCGUAAAGGGCGCGUAGGCGGCCAUGCGUGUCUUCCGUGAAAUCCCUCGGCUUAACCGGGGAACUGCAUCUGAUACUGGAUGGCUUGAGUUCGGGAGAGGGAUGCGGAAUUCCAGGUGUAGCGGUGAAAUGCGUAGAUAUCUGGAGGAACACCGGUGGCGAAGGCGGCAUCCUGGACCGACACUGACGCUGAGGAGCGAAAGCCAGGGGAGCAAACGGG